rnacentral:tRNA from 1 species
GGAGAGGUGUCCGAGUGGUCUAAGGAGCACGACUGGAAAUCGUGUAGGCUAUUUAAAGUGGUCUCUGGGGUUCGAAUCCCCAUCUCUCUGCCA